rnacentral:tRNA from 1 species
GACUCUAUUAAAUGAUGUUUUGAAAGCAUUUUAUAAGAGAUAAAUCUUUAGAGUCA